CUGUGUUCUGCUGUUCUUAUGAAACACCCAAAUUCAGACAUGUCUGAUUUUAGUUCUAUUCCCACAUCAUACUUUACUUCUCUUGGUCUCUACUAUUGCAAUGAAUAGCAAGAGUCUCCUUUACUGAGAGGUUAAACGACAAUUAAUUAUAGAUAAAUAUUCACAGAAACCUAAAUAAUAUGCUAACUGGUAUAGAAUUGUUUGACUGUAUCCAAAGAAAUCAUCUGUUUCAGUGGAGACCAAUAACUACUACCCCCACCAUCCCUACUCAAGAGAGGAGAAUGUUCCAGCUUUACCAACACUGAGAAUAAGAUAUUGGAUUAGGUCUGUUUCACAGUGGGCAGGUCUAUGCAAACCUACAAAAAAACUUGAAGAAGUUGAGAGGCUGAAGAAAGAGCCUGACAAACCCAGUUUCUUAGAAGAAAACACUUAACAGAGACUUACAAACAAGAGCCAUGCUUAUGUCUCCAGCAGUGGUGAGACAAGAUGGUGAAGACCCAUACCAUUACCCCCCAGAACCAGUGCUUAUCUACCACAGGGAAGGGGUUGUUCAGAAGAGAGACUACAAGUGGAUUGAUGACUGUGCAUGAAGUCCGGAGUUGGAAGGGCAGCUGGAGAAUCUCAAGGCCUGCCAGGUAAAGUCUUUAUAAUUGACUAUGGUUGAGCUUCAAAGAUCACACAUAGGAUUUUGGCCUGGAGCUGGAC
rnacentral:lncRNA from 1 species